GCAGGAUAGUCUAGUCGGUGGUUAGAGGGCACUUGGCUCCCAGCCAAAAGGUUCUGGGUUCAAACCUGUCCGCCGUCUACCUGUC